rnacentral:tRNA from 1 species
GCCUGGGUGGCUCAGUGGGUUGAGUGUCUGACUUCAGCUCAGGUCAUGAUCUCACGGUUCGUGAGUUUGAGCCCUGCAUCAGGCU